GAUCUCAUUCUUUGGCAGUGUUAAAAGAAAAGAAAAGUAAAGUAAGUCUCAGUAUCUCCUUGAGCAUUAAUUGUGAGUAAAAACUAAAUGAGCACAAAUAUACAGAAUAAACGAUAAAGUGUCAAAAUGCAGCUUAAAUAAAAGCUAAUGUGUCUUUGAGUUAUUUCACAUAUACAGCUUGUUCUUCUAAUAGUGUGUUAUGGUGUUACAGUAAAUCAGAGGCAAGCAGACCAUCAUUUCAUAUUUAUUUACACUAAAACACGCAGAUCCUGCAAACCCAGGAAGAGGAAGACAAAAGAGGAAGAGCUGAGACAAACACUGGUGAUUUGUCUUUGAAGCAGAGGAGCGUCACGUCUCUCUCUCUCUUUCACCUGUCUGCAAACACGGAAGAGAAGCAGCGCGAGGAAGAGGUGUUUCUCUGCUAUGGAUCAGUGUGAGGACAGAGAGGAGGGAGUCCCUCCCUCUAAAAGCUCUCUGUGUGGGGAACAUGACAGCCAGACCAAAGCUCAGAGG